UUAUCCUGAUAAUUUUUUUGGAGUGACUCUUGUCUGUCUGACCUUCUAUAAACUUCAGUUUACCCUCGGAUUGCCAUAUAAGUGUGCUCACACAAUGCUGAAUAACUAUUAUUAUUAAACAAUUAUUAUUAACUAUUAUUAUUAACCAAUCACCUAACAUCUUAUCUGAGUUUUAGUUAAUUGUGAUUUCCUAUGGAAACUACAUAUGAUGAUGCACAGUAGCAAUUAACCAUUAGUAGAGACUGUUUAAUACCAGGUUACUGAAUGCUAUAGAAUUUAUUAAUGCUGUUUGUGAACCUCUGAUCCCACAACUGCUACUCAGAAAUCUGUUCUUCUACUUUGAGAUAAGGAAAGUGACAAAAGUGCAACAGCUCCUGGGUCAGACAGGCAAAGGAGGAGAAACAGUAAUGACUUUGAACGCCCAAAGUUGAAAGAAAAGGAGCACACCUCAGGAGACGAGAGUUGAAAAAAAUAACGAUUCGUGCCAGAUCAGUGGAGAAUGGAAGAGACCACAGAGGCAUCAGAGAGAAGAGAGUAAUGGCAGCAGACCAAGUCCCGGUGGAUCUCAUUCUUUUUGAAGAAUCAGCUGUCAUUCAAAGGAGGUCCCUCCACGGUCAGGAAUCAAGAGCACUGCUUGUAAUGCCCCUCUUUGCAAUGUUUCUCAUUAACCGGCUUACAAGAUUUGUAUUAUACGAUUUCCCCUGGGUGGAGAGAGUUCUGGCGCACUAUGGCUGCCGUCACAUCAUCCAGGUGGGGGCUACACAUCGGUGGUGGAGGAGGGGAGUCCCC